rnacentral:rRNA from 1 species
UACGUAGGUGGCGAGCGUUAUCCGGAAUGAUUGGGCGUAAAGAGCGCGCAGGUGGUUAAUUAAGUCUGAUGUGAAAGACCCACGGCUUAACCGUGGAGGGUCAUUGGAAACUGGUUGACUUGAGUGCAGAAGAGGGAAGUGGAAUUCCAUGUGUAGCGGUGAAAUGCGUAGAGAUAUGGAGGAACACCAGUGGCGAAGGCGGCC